AAUUUCACUGGAGCAAUAUCCAAAAAGAAAGAAAAAAAAGAAAAAAAAAAAACUCUUGUUCCUUAAACCCUAACCAAAACCCCGCCGUUCUAAUUACGUUCUCCUCCUCCUUAUUUCUCAAGACAUUUACUUCACUUAAAAAUAGCAUUAUUCUUUUGACACUGCAAAAAUGGCUUGGCGUAAUGGAGGAUCACUCUCACGCACUCUCAUCUCCGCCGCCAGGGCUCCAUCGCGCCUCUCUUCCGCGCCGCUCCCUCGCAUCCGUCCACCUACUGCCUCUCCCCGCCUCCAGUCUCGCCGCCUUUCUUUUGGUCCUUCUAGGAACUUGGGAGAACUGGGAUGUCUGCAAUCAUUCUUGCCUUUGCAUAGCACAAACCAUCUCACAUCGCACCUCAACUCUAACUUGCGGGCUUUUUGCGAGCUGUCUCACGGUACCUUCUGCCGCACUUGUCAAGAUCGCUAGUAGUCUCUUUGGAAUGGAAAAGACGGGUGAUGCGCGUGGACUUUCAGUCAGCUAGAGGUGCAGGAUUGUUGCCAGAAUUGUACUUGAAGGGCCAUGGCAUUUGCACAUCAAAGCACUAUAGAGUACUGAAGUCAGAGAGUGGGUCAGUCCUGUGGGAUCUUGGGGUUUUUUGAGUAGGAAAUACUAUAAUAAAGAUAUGUUUUAUUAUAUUUCAUCUUGAAUUUCCUUGUUUUUAGGACAAUCAAUUGGAAGGUUAUGUAACCCCCGAUAUUGUUUAAACAUGUCCUAUUUUUUUGUGGUUCUAUCUAGUAUCUAUAAGAUUGUGCUUAUCGAUAA